UUGAUGUCUCAAACAAACGUCAGCACCUUUACAAGGAGCACAUUGACAAGUGGAGGAGACAAGCAAGUGGGUUGGAGAAGACAUCUGCCUCCAACAUUCUGAUGUACCUCGAGGACCUGCGACUGGAGCUUUCCUAGGACUGCAAGCAGUGCAGCAUAAGAUACACAUUUCCCUGUCUCUACAAGGCCUUUUUAUUUGGUCUAGAUACACAUCUCCAAUCCUUGUUUUGAGGAUCAAAUCUCCAUCUCCUGCGUGCUCAAGGAAACCCUGUCAGCGUGAUGAAGUAUCAGCAUCACUCAGCAGCACCUGUUCAGCAGCCAGUGUUUGGGCUUGGCCCAUCACAGCACUGGUUUAUCCUUUUUUAAAUCUAAUCCUCUGUACAUCUCCCCUGGUCGUCAUGGAAAUCUGGACUGACUGAACUGGAUCCUUAUUUCCAAAUGUGGAUAUUGCACAACCAGACACUGAUUUUCAGAGAGGGUUCACCACCUUUUUUUUAUCAAUACUGGGUUGGAGAGCCCUUGAGAUAAACAUGAGAGGUGCAGUCACAGAGAGAAGUGCUUGUUGAUGAACACAUUGUUGUAUUCCCCAGCUGUAAUCAGGACACAGUUUCCUCUCCAGAAGUUCACCAACAGCAAGGAUCAACA